GGUUCGGUGACCUAGUGGUUAGAGCGUCCGUCUUGGAUGCAGGAGGUCGAGGGUUCGAAUCCAGACUGAGUCG